rnacentral:tRNA from 1 species
GUCCAGGGGGAUGGGAAUCGAACCCACAAUGUUCCGCUUACCGGGCAGAUGCCAUGUCCACUAGGCUACCCUGGA